rnacentral:rRNA from 1 species
UCGAGAAUCAUUCGCAAUGGGCGAAAGCCUGACGGUGCGACGCCGCGUGAAGGAAGAAGGUCCUCGGAUCGUAAACUUCUGUCAUUUGAGAACAAUUGCCGGAGCAGUAACUGGCUUCGGCUUGAUAGUAUCAGAAGAGGAAGAGACGGCUAACUCUGUGCCAGCAGCCGCGGUAAUACAGGGGUCUCAAGCGUUGUUCGGAUUCAUUGGGCGUAAAGGGUGCGUAGGCGGUGCCGUAAGUCGGAUGUGAAAUCCCGGAGCUCAACUUCGGAACUGCAUUCGAUACUGCGGUGCUAGAGGGCUGGGAGAGGAGAUCGGAAUUCAUGGUGUAGCAGUGAAAUGCGUAGAUAUCAUGAGGAAGACAGUGGCGAAGGCGGAUCUCUGGACAGUUCCUGACGCUGAGGCACGAAGGCUAGGGUAGACGAACGGGAUUAGAUACCCCGGUAGUCCUAG